rnacentral:rRNA from 1 species
AACGAACGCUGGCGGCAUGCCUAACACAUGCAAGUCGAACGAGAACUUCGGGUCUAGUGGCGCACGGGUGCGUAACGCGUGGGAACCUGCCCUUAGGUUCGGAAUAACUCCCCGAAAGGGGUGCUAAUACCGGAUAAUGUCUUCGGACCAAAGAUUUCUCGCCUUUGGAUGGGCCCGCGUUGGAUUCGCUAGUUGGUAGGGUAAAAGCCUACCAAGGCGACGAUCCAUAGCUGGUCUGAGAGGAUGAUCAGCCACACUGGGACUGAGACACGGCCCAGACUCCUACGGGAGGGAGCAGUGGGGAAUAUUGGACAAUGGGCGAAAGCCUGAUCCAGCAAUGCCGCGUGAGUGAUGAAGGCCUUAGGGUUGUAAAGCUCUUUUACCCGGGAUGAUAAUGACAGUACCGGGAGAAGAAGCACCGGCUAACUCCGUG